CAUCUUUAUAAGUGACGUGUUGAUGACGUCCAUCAGCAAGUUGAACGUGGUAAUAACCUGACACUUUACCCUGUCUAUCUCCAACUCUCGUAUCGCCAAAACUAGUGUAAUCAUCGCCCUUGACUUCGUAACUGAACUUUUAAAUUGCCAAUCUUACACUGGAUUCGUGUGCUGGAAGAGGAUUGUAAGGCUUGCUGGGAGGUGGUUUUGCUGUUUGUUUGUCGUAUCGAGCUUCAGAAACGACGAUGGAAACCAAAACCACGAGAAUAAGCAACUGUCAUCAAAGAGUGGAUUGCAAGUCACUGUUAAGACACUCGAAAGACAACUGACAGUCCAUCAGGUGUUGAUUGUUAUGGUAUAUAUACUGUGGGCUUAGACCAUCAUCACAAAUUGAAAAUGGCUGGGCCAAUUCGAUAUACCAGCCUCACUCUACAAUGUGGGAAAAUAAUCGACAGUGACAAAAACCUUAACCGAGUAAAAAAGCUAUCAAGGGUGUAGUCGAUUUUCACUGAACACCACCAACUGGUUAACGCUUUCUCCCCCCAAUGUAAUUUUGCACAUCGUCAGAAUAUUUUGCCUUCCGUAUUGAUCCUGUCCAGGGUUCUCACCUGUUCGUCUUGCAUUAGAAGUGUAGCUUUGCAUUACAUAAUGAUGAGAGCACAAUGUGAUACGAGACAGUUUCUACCAGAUGUUGAAUAAAUUGGGCUUUCACUGAUCGAUGCCACAAUCGACCACAACCAGCAUCCAUCGUAAGAUCAUGGCGGAGAUUAGAAGGAAAAACUAUACUCUUGAUGUCUCCACACGCAACAUUAAUUAUCAAGCCGCAUCAUCAACGUAUUUUGCGUUUCACCAUAGCGGAAAUCGUCUGUUUUCUUUAUGUUUCCCGCUUGCGUUCAUUGUCGCAACAGUCUGGUAUCCAAUUGAUCUCAACAAUUCCGUCGAAUGGAGUCGAUUCCGAGCUGCCGUUGCAAGGAAAUUGGCCGUCUGCUUGCUUACCGCAAGGUGAAUUCAAAUUGUAUUCAAAGUCUACAACGUAGACGGCAUUAAUACCAAAAUUACGCUGAAUAAUUCAUGAAGAACAAUGGGAUACAUUGACAAUGAAGGUAACGCCGGCACCUUUCGUUACAAUCUCGAGUGAUUUAAUCUAAACGUAUGCGGUAACCUCUCGUAUUGUUUUUGCUUGACAACAUUGAAACGUACAUUAGGUGAUGCCAAUGGUUUAUCUUAUGAAAGCUUUCGUUCUUCAAAAGAAAAGAGUAAGAUCUUGGGCCUUGAAUUCAUUCCGUUUUGACUCUGUGAGAUCAAAAGGAAACGACCAAGACAAAGAGAAAUAAUAAAAAGUUACAUGGUUUCUCUUUUUCGCUAUAGCCGGAGAAGAAUUGAAUGCGUACAACAACAACAACAACAAAACUUGGUAUAUUAAAAGCCUGCAGGUCUUUUAUUGUUCAGUUUAAAACAAAAAAUUUGAAUCGGUGGAUGUUGCAAUAUCAUUAUGAAUAAAGAAGAGAGGAGGCCCCUCCUAACGGGAAAUCUUUUAUGGUGAGAAAAAAAUUCGACUUGUGACCGGAGGUGGCAAUUCAAAAAUAUCUGGAGCAAGGUGAAUGCUAAUAUACAACAUACAGUUGUAGAACGGGCUGCUUUUUAAUCAUAAAAUAAAAUAAAAAAAUAAAAUAAAAAUAUUUUCAUAUUAUGGAAAUGAGAUGCGCUGCAGGAAGAGAGUGAAAGUUUCACUUGGCCCAAGACCA